UUUACUAUAGCUUAAUUAGUAAAGCGUAAGUUAUUUUAAACUUAAAAUUAUAAGUUCAAAUUUUAUUAGUAUCU